rnacentral:tRNA from 1 species
AGAGAGAUGCUAGAGCGGUUGAAUAGGACGGUCUCGAAAACCGUUAUACUCGCAAGGGUAUCGAGGGUUCGAAUCCCUCUCUCUCUG